AUGCUGGGGGAUUUCAAUUAUAUUAGGUAUCCUUCAAACAGAAACAGAGAAGGGGGUAAUCUCAAUGAUAUGCUCCUAUGCAAUGAAGCAAUCGGCAAUUUGGGCCUUCUAGAAAUUCCAUUGAAAGGGAGAGCAUUUACAUGGAGCAACAUGCAGACAACCCCUUUACUUGAGAAACUUGAUUGGGUUUUUUCUUCUGAAGCUUGGACUUCCAACUUCCCUAACACCAUGUUGUUGCCUCUCUCAAAGCCUACUUGUGAUCAUGUCCCAUGCAUCAUUAAUAUUGGCACCAGGAUUCCAAAGUCAAAGAUUUUCAGGUUUAAAAAUUACUGGAUGCAGAUUGAUAGUUUCAAGGACACUGUGAAAAAUAUUUGGCAACAAGAUGUUAAUGAAACUGAUAGUGCAAAGAGAAUCACUGCUAAGUUUAAGAGACUGAGAAAG
rnacentral:rRNA from 1 species